UGUUUGUUUUUGUUUUUUUGUUGUUGUCAGUUUAUAUUCGAUCUAUGAGUUUGACUAACCUUUGGUAUAUUUCGCCGCGUUGUGAAUUUAUUUUCGAUCUAUGAGUUUGACUGUCCCUUUGGUAUAUUUCGCACCUCCCUUUAAGGUAGAGGAGGGUAAUUUAGAAAAAAAUAUAUGUAUUAGACAGUUAAAGGUCUUACCAAAAAAUGAGAGUUCAAUCACUGCAAAAAAAAAGAACGACUUAAACAAUAGAAUGUCGUCACAACAAUGUUUAAGAAUGAAUAUAUUUCACAGUACAAGGUCUAGGAUACACCAUUCUUCCGGGCCAUCCAGUCUUUGCUCUUACUUCUCCGUUUCACGUGAUUAGCAGUAAGUAAACAAAUACAUGUUCAGGUAGCACUCCACAGUUAGGUGUGUAGUUUCGCAUUUUGGCCCCUGUGGAUUUUUUAAAUAUGAGAGCUAGUGUGCAAUAAAAUUCAUUUUUGGAUAGCUGAGUAUUAAAAAAGCCUUUGUAUUGGGUUUAUAUGAACAUCAAGAUUAUGUAAUGUAUGUAAUAUAGGCUGUUUUCUGUAUGACAGUCCGUAUUUGCAUGUCC
rnacentral:lncRNA from 1 species